rnacentral:rRNA from 1 species
AUUGAACGCUGGCGGCAUGCCUUACACAUGCAAGUCAAACGGCAGCAUGGAGAGCUUGCUCUCUGAUGGCGAGUGGCGAACGGGUGAGUAAAGCAUCGGAACGUACCGUGUAGUGGGGGAUAACGUAGCGAAAGUUACGCUAAUACCGCAUACGCACUGAGGUGGAAAGCAGGGGAUCGUAAGACCUUGCGCUAUACGAGCGGCCGAUGUCAGAUUAGCUAGUUGGUAGGGUAAAGGCCUACCAAGGCGACGAUCUGUAGCGGGUCUGAGAGGAUGAUCCGCCACACUGGGACUGAGACACGGCCCAGACUCCUACGGGAGGCAGCAGUGGGGAAUUUUGGACAAUGGGGGCAACCCUGAUCCAGCCAUGCCGCGUGAGUGAAGAAGGCCUUCGGGUUGUAAAGCUCUUUCGGCCGGGAAGAAAUCACACAGGCUAAUACCCUGUGUGGAUGACGGUACCGGCAUAAGAAGCACCGGCUAACUACGUGCCAGCAGCCGCCGUAA